GACAUGAUUUAGCGGUAGGUUGUUAGAGUUAGGGCAGUAUGGUUAGGUUGCGGUUGGACUUGAUGAUCUUGAAGGUCUUUUCCAACCUGAGCAGUUCUAUGAUUCUAUGACUCUAUGAUUGUAUGUAAGUUUUUGUAUGUGUAUCCUUGAAUAUAACAAAUAUGUGCUUUUAUCUAACUCGGGUUGACCACCCUUGAAGCUGCUAAAGUGGUUAAGUAAAGGAACUCCUAAUCACAGUGCAAUGACUAAAAAAGAUGACUAAAAAGAGUGCCUUGAGAAAACACGUAGUUAAUGAGCAUGUCUGGCUAGCCUGCAGGUAGGGAGAUCAGCCCUAUCUUUAACUGACCAGUUGUAGGCUAUAUAGGGGUAAUGAUCAAGUGAUAAAAAGAUAAGUAUAAAAAAGCCUCUAGUGCUAGCUUUGUGGGAGACCAUCUAGCACCCAAACUUGUACAACUCUGCAAUAAAUCAUUAUAUCCUCUCUGUGUGAAACUGGCUUACUGCACACUGAGUAACAAAUCUGCCUUUCAGACAACAGUAACACUUAAAGGUGGGUAAUGAAAGAUACAUUUUCCUUUGCAAUUUGUUCAAAUGGUUAAAUCAUGUUUGCUCUUCUAAAAAUUGCAACUUAAUUCUAAACUCAGUUUGUUUGUCCUUAUUUUCUAGUAUUUUGUUUUUCCAGUGUUCACGUGUGCUAUGUUAAAUAGUCUGGCAUUCUGUGCUUUUGGGGGGGGUUGUUCGUUUAUUUAUUCUUCCCCCUCUUUAGGUAUGCAUAAACUGGAAGCCAGUCACCUUUGUAUUAAAGAGGCCACCUCUUUUAAGGAUAUUUUCCAGCCUGGAAAACUGGCAAUGAGUUCAUCAACAUUUUUUUACUUUUUUUCUUUUAAAGUGGUUGUGUGGCACUUAGUUUAUCACUGCCUGAGAUAUUGGAAUACAUUCUUUCAUACUGCUGCUCACUGUUCUCCUAUUCAUACCUUUUGCCAUAUUAGCACAUUAAAUUGCUUCCUGAUUGUAACAUGACAUCUAGGUUUUUUCCAGAACCAGUAUUUUCCAGGAUACAGUCUACUCUUCCAAACAGCCUACCCUAAGCUCUAUGAAAAGUGUAUUUUUUUGAAUGUACUCAGUUUUCCAGUUUCUGCACAUUACUCCUUGUGACUCUUAGUCUCAUUCAUUACUAGUCUACUUCUCUGCAGCCUUUUGUGCCACUUACAUCUGUAUUUGAAUCAUCAAGAGACCAUCCUUCCAGGAGCUACUAAAGUAACUCCCCGAAACAUUCUAUCAGUGAUGACUGCUACUUUUCACCAUUUGUCCUUCUCCACUCAUUUAAGCAUUCCAGAAAAGCUGAUGGAGAUGGAGUCCCAUUGGUUAAGGCUGCUUGCAGAAUUUGAAAGAUAGUACUCGUUUUCUUUGCACUCAAAUCAGACUUAGAAGCCACCCACAAAAAUUUUCCUUCUGAGUUUUGUAGGUUCUAAAGUUUUGUUUUCAUUUUGAACAGAUAAAGCAGGUAUUUGACAUCUCUGGGCAAUGGUCAGAUUCUAAAUUCCUUAUAGGACUUGCUUAAUUGUUGAAUUACACUAACAUCUAUUUAUGGAUUCAAAAACAAAAGUAAAUCUUUAGUAAAGGCUUUGACUUUUGAGAAAACUGAGUUUAUUCUUCAAGUAAAAAGAGAACUUCUGUUUCGAUUCAUAUUUGUACACUAUUGUGCUUAACUGUUCCACGUUAUUCUUCGAGAUAAUUAAAAAUAACAAAUGUAGUGAAGUAAGUAAUAGUCUUGAAAAUGCUAUUACAACUAACUCUCCAAGAACUGGAACUUAGCAUAUUUCCUGUCGAAAUGAUGUACAAGAUAGACUGAGCAUUUCUCAGAUACAACUACAUCUUAACUGAAAAGUGGGAUAGUGCCUAUGUCAUAAUCUCUGAGUUGCACUUGUAUGGACCUAGGAGUUGUAUGCCUGUUUUGGAGUCCUCAAAGCACACUUUAAGCUGCCCCUUAACCACAGAAGAGUGAUGAGCCUCAGACCUCACCAUCUGUUCCUUGAUCACAGUAAGCAACUCUCAAGUGGUCAGUUCUGUGAAAAACCAUACACAACAAUGCAAAAUUACACAGUAUGCAAUAACAUUCUAAUAAUACAUGUAAUAACAAAGAGAUGGCUUAUGUCAUACAGAAAAGAAGCAUGCUUCAAUUCCAACAGUUACAUUCCACAUUGUAAUGCUACAGCUUUAAAUUUCUUAGCUAAUUUUUUGUUUCUUAAGAAUGAUGGGAUCAUUAUGCACUUCUGCUUCAAAGCUACUGGUUAUCUUCUUGCCUCUCACCAGUGGGUGUGCACUCAGGUUGAGGCCGUUAUGUGGUUAGCCAUUAUGUGAUGAAGCACAAUGUCUUUGACAAGUCAGUCAAUUCAUUCAACAUGAAGUAAAUGGUUCUCUUUAAUAUCAAUCCAUAUGUGAUAGCUUUUUCUAAGAAAACUUUAGAAAAAUUAAAUUACAAAAUCUGUUGAACCAGGUCUUAAACUGUAUGGCAUAUUCCCGUUACUGAUGGUUAUCAUAGUAAUAGUAUCCUACAAGUUAAAUCACACUUUUGUCUGACUCAUUCAUGAGGUCACAAGUUCUGAACUUGAGUCGUUGCUAAACAGACUGGGAAUAAUUUAGUUAUAUAAAACUAUUGUGGUUUUCCCCACUACUUAUAGUCAGAAGAGCUGUUUUCAGGUCAGAGCAAAGCCAUUUCCGAGGCCAGUUUUACAUGAUUUUGCACUCGAUUCAGCUCGCUGUUCUCAAACAGGUCCUUCUGCUGCAUCCACUUUUCAUUUCUGCAUGUUCUCCUUCCCUGUCAAGUGUUUUCCCUUCCCAUUGAGCCGCUAACAUGUGACUUACAGCACAGUCAUAAAGUUUUCCACAUAUCUCCUCCUCCCCUCACCCCACCUCUGAACACCGCUUGCCUUGCCCUACUUCCUGGGAACAUUCAACGUUUGUUCUGAUUUGUGAAAUAUGUAAGUCCUGUGGACGACUCCAAAUGAGUACAACGCUGAGAUCUAACCUUAAAAUCUCUUAAAACCGUGACAAAGUAUAAGUUGCAUCUGACUGUAUAAUUACUUAUCAGAGUAAGGAGGAAUACUGUUAAGGCCACGAAAAUGACAUUUGAAAUGUAGCUUGUUUUCACAAGCAUUUCUGGUAUGUAGCUGCUGCUCUGUUCUUAAACUUCUCACUGCUAUUGCUGCUGUUCCAAUAUUCUAAAAAGUCUUUAAAUUUCACAUAUCUUCUCAAAAUACAGCUUGAGGUGGUAAGAAAACAGACUUCAAUAAAAUUCCGUUUGUCUGUUUAAA